UUUUUUUUUUUUUUUUUUUAAAAACUUAUUUCGCGUUCAAUAUUCUCUUCAAAAAUACUUAUCCAUGAGAAACAACUCUUUGUUAAACUAAAAAACAAAGUCCAAAAUCUGUCACUGCCCUAAAAACUAACAAGUUCAAUAAAAUUUUAGACAUCCUACCUCAAUUCCACUGUAAAAAUUUUGAAAUAAAUUUGUUGGACUUGAAAGGGUUGUAAACAACCACUAAAACACAGGCAAUGUAUCCUUAUUUAUUAGCUUUACUCAACCGAAAAUCCCCUUGUCUGCUGAUGACUACAACCCCACGGAUUUCUCCAGCUUUUGGAUCUGGUUCAGGAAUAUCCAUGUCAUCAUGACAUGGGGAGCAAUUCUAAC
rnacentral:misc_RNA from 1 species